UGAACGCUGGCGGCGUGCCUAAUACAUGCAAGUCGAGCGAACAGACGAGGAGCUUGCUCCUCUGACGUUAGCGGCGGACGGGUGAGUAACACGUGGAUAACCUACCUAUAAGACUGGGAUAACUUCGGGAAACCGGAGCUAAUACCGGAUAAUAUAUUGAACCGCAUGGUUCAAUAGUGAAAGACGGUUUUGCUGUCACUUAUAGAUGGAUCCGCGCCGCAUUAGCUAGUUGGUAAGGUAACGGCUUACCAAGGCAACGAUGCGUAGCCGACCUGAGAGGGUGAUCGGCCACACUGGAACUGAGACACGGUCCAGACUCCUACGGGAGGCAGCAGUAGGGAAUCUUCCGCAAUGGGCGAAAGCCUGUCGGAGCAACGCCGCGUGAGUGAUGAAGGUCUUCGGAUCGUAAAACUCUGUUAUUAGGGAAGAACAAAUGUGUAAGUAACUAUGCACGUCUUGACGGUACCUAAUCAGAAAGCCACGGCUAACUACGUG
rnacentral:rRNA from 1 species